UGAAGCGUGUUGUCGUAGCGGUAACUUUAAUUCCUUACUAUAAUUUUUUAAUAUUUUAUUAAUAAUUAUGCAGUUUAAUGAGACCAACAACAUCUAUCUUAGAGUGAACCCCAAGAAAUGUUUUCAUGCUCAGUCGAGUCACUCAUCCGCAUGGCAAACGUCAAGUUGGAGCAUGCUUCUUUUGACAUCUGGGAGGGCUGUAUUUUGAUUCAGUUAGGCUAUCACCGUGCAAGUUAACUCAGUCUGUGAUGAACAGACAAUAUCAACGAGAUGUCACGGACAUACACAAGACACACAUUGUACAUAAACUGGGCUUCUGCAGCAUAGAGGGAGCAGAGAAAGAAUACGGUGUUCACCAUGUAUGAUGACAACAGGAACACGUCUGCAAGAUCACCUAUAACCUGACAUAUCAUCCUGUGACCUACAGUUAAAAAGGGGAUGGUUGCAUUGAGACUGCGACUCAAGAACCAUCCCUGCCAUCAGCAAGCCAUCAGCAGCGCACUGACAGCAGCACUGCACUAGAAUAAAGACAUCAUCGGGCAUCGACACAGCCAGAUGCACGACCACAUCGAGCUCUGGCUGCAGAUGGAGGACAACACGCACCUGUAUUUUUGUCAGGAGUUGUUCACCCCUCCCAUACUUCUGGCUUUGAAUGAUUGGAAUCUUGCCCGGAGCACUCAGUCCCCUGGUAUGCCUCCGAGGCAUGAAGGAAGGAAUCGCCGUGUCUGAGGUUAUGGAUUUGCCAUUCCACUUCUUCGCUUCUACUACCCAUCCCAACUUCAUCUUGCAACUUCUCAGCCUCAUCUUUGAACAUGCCCAGGCGAUCAGCGUUCACCGUUUGGCUGCUGCUGUGGAAAUCCUUCCCAUACGUUGGUUGGAACUGUGGGCUCAACCCAUUCUGUGCUGGACUGACAAUAUCACUGAAGAUCUUCGAUUAAAAAAAAGAGCAGUUCCAUGAUUUCGUCGUAACCUUUGCGUCAACUUGCUCUGUUCUAGACUGACAAUAUCCUUUAUCUUCGGCCGAUGAUUCUCUUCUUCAUGUUUUUGUCAACAUGGAUUCAGGCUGCUGUAUGUUGAACUAUCAAUAUCAAAGAACUUUGAUUGAUAAAUCCUUUGCUCAAGUUAGUCGCGAUCAUUCAGUCAACUCAUUCUGCGCUGGACUGACAAUAUCACUAAAGAUCUUCUACUGACGCAUCUUUUCCACAAGUUUUUCGAGAACAUGGAGUCGAUUCACUCUGUUCUGGCUUGACAAUAUCACUGAACGCUUUCAGUUGAUGAACUAUUGCCCUACAUGUAAGUUGGCCUAGAUGUUGGAGUCAACCCGUUCUGCGCUGGACUGACAAUAUCACUAAAGAUCUUCAACCGAUGCACCUUUUCCACAAGUUUUUCGAGAACAUGGAGUCGAUUCACUCUGUUCUGGCUUGACAUUAUCACUGAACGCUUUCAGUUGAUGAACUAUUGCCCUACAUGUAAGUUGGCCUAGACGUUGCAGUCAACCCGUUCUGUGCUGGACUGACAAUAUCACUAAAGAUCUUCGACUGAUGAACCAUUUCCACAAGUUUUUCGAGAACAUGGAGUCGAUUCACUCUGUUCUGGCUUGACAAUAUCACUGAACGCUUUCAGUUGAUGAACUUUUUCCCUCAGUUGGCCUAGAUAAUGGAGUCAAACCCGUUCUGCGCUGGACUUACAAUAUCACUAAAGAUCUUCGACCGAUGAACCCUUUCCAUGAUUUUUACUAUUGUGGCGUGACAGUAUCACUCAGGAUCUUCGAUCGAUGAACUAUUCCCCCUGAGUUUAACUGGACACUUGGAGUCUUCCUCCAAGCUUCCUCCAAGCUGACAGUUUACAGUUGUUUCCUGAGGAGGUUCAAGGAGGUUGCAGUCUAAGAAAAAAGUGGCCUUGUUUUAGAUGGAGAACAAACUUUCUGCUUGAUGAACAGCCAGCUACAGUGUACGAGCAUCUCUCAGCCUAUCCCCUCAACUCCUUCCUGCAUCAUUGGAUGUCCAGUCUCGCCAGCAGAGCUCGACUCAGCUUCUGGCGAAGGACCCGACCACCGUACAACGCAGCCUGCGAUGGACUGACAAUAUCACUCCAGAUUUCCGACUGAUGAUCUCACGUGCGAUUUGCAGCAUGGUCUUCCUUUACACAGAUGUAGACCAUGGUGACAAUUUCGGUACCACCUCAGAUUGGAAAGUCUACGAG
rnacentral:lncRNA from 1 species